rnacentral:misc_RNA from 1 species
CAGAUGGGUAUAAGGGACAGGUGAAUCAUCGAAUCUUUGAACGCACAUUGCGCCCUCUGGUAUUCCGGGGGGCAUGCCUGUUCGAGCGUCAUUAUAACCACUCAAGCUUUCGCUUGGUAUUGGGGCUCGCGGUUCCGCGGCCCCUAAAAUCAGUGGCGGUGCCUGUCGGCUCUACGCGUAGUAAUACUCCUCGCGAUUGAGUCCGGUAGGUCUACUUGCCAGCAACCCCCAAUUUUUACAGGUUGACCUCGGAUCAGGUAGGGAUACCCGCUGAACUUAAGCAUAUCAAUAAGCGGAGGA